UUUCCGUAGGUGAACCUGCGGAAGGAUCAUUACCAAUGAUUGAGUUGGGGGUAGGCUUCGGCCCACAUCCCUCCUCCCUUCAACCCCUUGUCUACAUUACCUCUGUUGCCUCGGCGGGUCGUGGUGGUUUACUCGACCCCGCCGGUGGCGAGCCUCGCGGCUUGCUGCCUGCGUGCACCCGCCGACGGUAUAUCGAAACUCUUUGUUAAACAAGUUUUCUGAAAUCAUAAUUUAAUACAUUAAAACUUUCAACGACGGAUCUCUUGGUUCUG
rnacentral:misc_RNA from 1 species